UACAGAGGGUGCGAGCGUUGUUCGGAAUUAUUGGGCGUAAAGGGCGCGUAGGCGGUGCGGUAAGUCACCUGUGAAAUCUCCUGGCUCAACUGGGAGCUUGCAGGCGAAACUGCCGUGCUGGAGUGUGGGAGAGGUGCGUGGAAUUCCUGGUGUAGCGGUGAAAUGCGUAGAUAUCAGGAGGAACACCGGUGGCGAAGGCGGGUCUCUGGGCCGAUACUGACGCUGAGGCGCGAAAGCGUGGGUAGCAAACAGG
rnacentral:rRNA from 1 species